rnacentral:misc_RNA from 1 species
UGUGUGAACAUCUCAUAGCUG